CGAAAGGAAAACCAUGAGAGAAGUUUACAUUUAUAAGACUAGGUUUAGAUUUGGAGACGGAAACAGAGGGGGAGAGAGAGAGGAGACGACGAGAUGAUCUACAGGAAGUGGUCGCUGCUAUCGUCGACGAUGGUGAUCUGGGGAGGGGUCGCCUCCCUUUGCCUCGCCGACGUCUUCCUCUUCGGCGGAAAGGAGAAAUUUCAGGAGUACCUGUGUCGUGAAGGUGAGAAGCUCCGGCAACAGGAUCGGGUCAUGAUGGCUGAAAGGAGCCAAGCGAAGAUGGGUUGAGAGAAGAGAAGGUUGGAUGAGUGCGAAAACAGUUGUAUUUCCUCUUUAAAUCCUUUUGUCAAGCCGGACUCUUGGCCAUGAAGGUGUACGUUCAAUAAUUGUUGCAUUAAUGACUCUGUGUAACUUUGUUUUUUCAAAAAAUGGCAAACAUGGAGGCUCUGGAUGCUCAAACCAUGCAAUGGCAGGACAGUUGUUGAAGUUGUCGAGUCCAUGCUAGAAGAAACAAAGAAAUAAAGACUUGUGCUCAUUGUCUAUCUGGUGAAAGAAGUUAUUUUUCCAUAUCA